rnacentral:rRNA from 1 species
CCUACGGGAGGCAGCAGUGGGGAAUAUUGGGCAAUGGGCGCAAGCCUGACCCAGCAACGCCGCGUGAGGGAAGAAGGCGGUCGGGUUGUAAACUUCUUUUGUCAGGGAAGAGGAGAAGACGGUACCUGACGAAUAAGCCACGGCUAACGACGGGCCAGCAGCCGCGGUAAUACGUAGGUGGCAAGCGGUGUCCGGAUUUACUGGGUGUAAAGGGCGUGGAGCCGGGUUGACAAGUCAGAUGUGAAAUCCUGCGGCUUAACCGCAGAACGGCAUUUGAAACUGUUGAUCUUGAGUACUGGAGCGGCAGCCGGCAUUCCUAUUGUAGCGGUGAAAUUCGUCGAUAUUAGGAG